rnacentral:rRNA from 1 species
UACGAAGGGGGCUAGCGUUGUUCGGAAUUACUGGGCGUAAAGCGCACGUAGGCGGACAUUUAAGUCAGGGGUGAAAUCUCGGGGCUUAACUCCGAAACUGCAUUUGAUACUGUGGUGCUUGAGGACUGGAGAGGAGACUGGAAUUUACGGUGUAGCAGUGAAAUGCGUAGAGAUCGUAAGGAAGACCAGUGGCGAAGGCGGGUCUCUGGACAGUUCCUGACACUGAGGCACGAAGGCCAGGGGAGCAAACGGG